AGAGAGGUGGCCGAGUGGCUGAAGGCGCACGCUUGGAAAGCGUGUUCCCGAGAAAUCGGGACGUGAGUUCGAAUCUCAUCCUCUCUG
rnacentral:tRNA from 1 species